GGAGGGUGCAAGCGUUGUCCGGAUUUAUUGGGUUUAAAGGGUGCGUAGGCGGCUCUUUAAGUCAGUGGUGAAGUCCUACAGCUUAACUGUAGAACAGCCAUUGAUACUGAAGAGCUUGAGUACAGACGAGGUAGGCGGAAUUUAUGGUGUAGCGGUGAAAUGCAUAGAUACCAUAAAGAACUCCUAUUGCGAAGGCAGCUUACUAGGCUGUAACUGACGCUGAGGCACGAAAGCGUGGGGAUCAAACAGGAUUAGAUACCCUGGUAGUCCACGCCGUAAACGAUGAUUACUCGAUGUUCGCGAUAUACAGUGAGCGUCCAAGCGAAAGCGUUAAGUAAUCCACCUGGGAAGUACGAUCGCAAGAUUG
rnacentral:rRNA from 1 species